CCUACGGGUAGCAGCAGUGAGGAAUAUUGGUCAAUGGACGAGAGUCUGAACCAGCCAAGUAGCGUGAAGGAUGACUGCCCUAUGGGUUGUAAACUUCUUUUAUAAAGGAAUAAAACGAGGCACGUGUGCCUUUUUGCAUGUACUUUAUGAAUAAGGAUCGGCUAACUCCGUGCCAGCAGCCGCGGUAAUACGGAGGAUCCGAGCGUUAUCCGGAUUUGUUGGGUUUAAAGGGAGCCUAGAUGGGUUGUUAAGUCAGUUGUGAAAGUUUGCGGCUCAACCGUAAAAUUGCAAUUGAUACUGGCAGUCUUGAGUACAGUUGAGGUAGGCGGAAUUCGUGGUGUAGCGGUGAAAUGCUUAGAUAUCACGAAGAACCCCGAUUGCGAAGGCAGCUUACUAAACUGUGACUGACAUUGAUGCUCGAAAGUGUGGGUAUCAAACAGGAUUAGAUACCCCUGUAGUC
rnacentral:rRNA from 1 species